rfam:Trichobilharzia regenti genome assembly, scaffold: TRE_scaffold0007576
AUCCAGCUGACGAGUCCCAAAUAGGACGGAAAUGGGGAUCCUGGAU